AUUGAACGCUGGCGGCAUGCCUUACACAUGCAAGUCGAACGGCAGCAUAAUCUAGCUUGCUAGAUUGAUGGCGAGUGGCGAACGGGUGAGUAAUACAUCGGAACGUGCCCUGUAGUGGGGGAUAACUAGUCGAAAGAUUAGCUAAUACCGCAUACGACCUGAGGGUGAAAGUGGGGGACCGCAAGGCCUCAUGCUAUAGGAGCGGCCGAUGUCUGAUUAGCUAGUUGGUGAGGUAAAGGCUCACCAAGGCGACGAUCAGUAGCUAGUCUGAGAGGACGAUCAGCCACACUGGGACUGAGACACGGCCCAGACUCCUACGGGAGGCGGCAGUGGGGAAUUUUGGACAAUGGGCGAAAGCCUGAUCCAGCAAUGCCGCGUGUGUGAAGAAGGCCUUCGGGUUGUAAAGCACUUUUGUCCGGAAAGAAAUGGCUCUGGUUAAUACCUGGGGUCGAUGACGGUACCGGAAGAAUAAGGACCGGCUAACUACGUG
rnacentral:rRNA from 1 species